rnacentral:rRNA from 1 species
AACGAACGCUGGCGGCAUGCCUAACACAUGCAAGUCGAACGAGACCUUCGGGUCGAGUGGCGCACGGGUGCGUAACGCGUGGGAACCUGCCCUUAGGUUCGGAAUAACUCCCCGAAAGGGGUGCUAAUACCGGAUAAUGUCUUCGGACCAAAGAUUUAUCGCCUUUGGAUGGGCCCGCGUUGGAUUAGCUAGUUGGUAGGGUAAAAGCCUACCAAGGCGACGAUCCAUAGCUGGUCUGAGAGGAUGAUCAGCCACACUGGGACUGAGACACGGCCCAGACUCCUACGGGAGGCAGCAGUGGGGAAUAUUGGACAAUGGGCGAAAGCCUGAUCCAGCAAUGCCGCGUGAGUGAUGAAGUCCUUAGGGUUGUAAAGCUCUUUUACCCGGGAUGAUAAUGACAGUACCGGGAGAAUAAGCUCCGGCUAACUCCGUG